UUCUUUAUCUCAUUGGCCCUGUUAAUCCCUAACUUCUGGUGUGGUCGAAACGUGUCCACCCAGAAACCAUCUUUUAGGGCAAAAGCAUAUUCAACUAUUUUCAAUAAUUCAAAUUCUACUUUCUUUUUCUUUGAAAUUUUAUAAAUGCAAUUCAAGCACAUUCCAGUGUUGAAGCUUAAAUAAACUCUACUUUGUAUUUAUUUCUACCUCUUCUAGCUCAAGAAUAUUGCAGGAAUAAAGAAUUGUGGUGAGGAGAGAGAGAAAGCUUCAACAGCUUCUUUCUCUUCUUCACCCUUUCAUUUCUACUGUCUUUAAGUCCUUCCGACUCCUUGGCUUCCCUAGUUUCCUCUAAUCACAAGGUUUCAUCAUGAAGAGAACCAAAAGGUGCCUGGACCUUGAAGGUAUGGAGCGUGAAACCCAGAAGGCUGCUAGGGAGGUUAAAAAAAAACAGAAUAUCAACGGCUUAUCAAAGGGAAUCGAUUCUCAAACACUUCGAUUACUCUGAAAAAUCCAGCCAAGCCAUCGAUUUUCUUCAAAGGUGUCGUGUGCUAGUGAAGUGUUAUCCGAAUAUACCAGAGAGAUAUUGAAAGAGCAAAGGUAUAAUCUUGAAGAACAAAUGGCCAGCUUGAUGAUCACUCCUUCAUCACAUGUAAGUGGUCAACAUCAACCAGAAGAAGAUGAAGAAUCGGAUUCUCUUUUCCCUGUUGGAGAUCAUGAGCCAUCAGACAUGAAUUAAGAUGAUGGCUCAAGGUGGUCGGCUUUUCCGAAUGUUAUCAUCAAUAAUUAUGGGAAUGUUUGUCGUUAAUUAUUUCAUAUGCUGACGUUUGGGAUUGUAAGAGAAUGAUGGUCUUCCAUUUAACCAAUGUGUUACCAAUUUGAAACAAA